AAUGAACGCUGGCGGCGCGCCUAAUACAUGCAAGUCGAGCGAGAAGACGUAGCAAUACGUUUGUAAAGCGGCGAACGGGUGAGGAAUACAUGGGUAACCUACCCUCGAGUGGGGAAUAACUAGCCGAAAGGUUAGCUAAUACCGCGUACGCUUCUUGGACUUCGGUUCAGGGAGGAAAGCGAUGCCGAGGGUAUCGCGCUCUUGGAUGGGCUCAUGUCCUAUCAGCUUGUUGGGAGGUAACGGCUCACCAAGGCUUCGACGGGUAGCUGGUCUGAGAGGAC
rnacentral:rRNA from 1 species